GAGAAACGCGCAGCACGGGCGCACCUCGUCCAUGACCAAUAAAAUACUGCCGUGGAAUGAAUAUUUGCCGAAAUGGUUGCACACGUUCUUUUGACUAGACGCAAUGAUAAUGCAAUCUAUCUUCCGCACUGAUUUGUAUGUUAAAAUCAUCCGAGGAUUAUUGCCAACUUCUUAAAGACUGUAACGUAAAAACAUUUGAUGCAUGUAUAUGUGUACAUAGGUUAAGGACUGCAAUUUGAAAAUAGACCAGAAAGGGUUCAACCUGUUUCAUAGCUUGGGCAACAAUAACCCAUCGGACUUCGUUUAAUUGUUUAGUAUCUUGCCAGUAACGCGUACGUUCUACACACAUUAACGCAUUACACGAGCAGUUCGUGACGAGGAGCUGGCGCUAACAGGUACCACCGUAGAAUCGCUAAUGUACAUGUUGAUAUUCCAUCGAACUAUAUAAAUAGAUCUAUUUAUCAAUUCGAUGGAUAAACACAUUUUAUAUAUAUAUGCAGACUGUUUCUUUCUUCCUUCAACAUGUCGUGCAUAUUCCAAUACGAAUAGGGAAGAAGCGAGAUCACGAAGAAGAAGAAGACCCAUAGGUUACCGCGGAAUUUAUUUCGACGAUAAUCUUAAGAGACACCCGCGCUCUCUCAGGUAGGAUACGAGAACGCGGAAGUGCGUACGUGCACGUUCAACGCGUAGGUUUGUAUAGCCACGAACGUGCAUAAACCGUAGCUCUGUAAGAAGCGCUUGUCGUGCAAACAACGCGUUCUAUGAUAGUACGCAGGAAACGCUUGUCGCCAGUACCGUAAACACUGUCACAGACCUAUACGA